GGGGUAACAUAUGCCUAGCACUUCUUGUAUCCUGAGGACGUCCUUCAUGACUCCAUCGCUCUUCUGAUCAACUCUUUCUAGUAGACUGGAUGGGUGGGAAAUAGCAAGAGUGAGCACAUAUCGUACUCAACAAGUAUAACUAUGGGUUCAUGAGGCUCAAUUAGCUGACACUGGUUUGACUGCAUAGCUUUUAAUAGUGGAUAACAUGUUUAAUCAUUGGAUAGCAAAUAUCAAGGUAGCAUAAAUAAUCCCAUAACCACAUGAUCAAUGUAUACAAGAAUUAAGAAUAACACAUAUAAACAACAUAAUAAACCAUCAUUUAUCAUCAUUAAUCAUGUUCAUCAGUGUCCAUCUAUUCCGUCAGUUUUCCGGGGCGCCCGUAUCCGUGGGCACGGCUAGUAUAUCAGAUUUAACACUCUGCAGAGGUUGUACAUUUUACCCAUGAGUCAUGAUUUACCCUUUCGCCCGAGGUAGCUAGUCUCUUAACCCCCUUCCUAGGGAGGUCGGUAGGGAUCACUAUGAAGUCUUUCAAAAGUUCGUCUAACAUGUUAGGACCGCAAAGUUUCCUUCGCGAGCAGAUAUAGAUACCCCCUUCCGAAUGGCACAAUGACGCGCAACCUAUACACAUAGGGACAGGGGCUCGCACUAUACCCGUGUCGGUUCAGCCCCUCUAGCGCCCUUUCGGGUAACCUCUAACAAGCUAGAAAAGGUCUUCAUACUGAGCUAAAGCCAGAGCCAUAUAGCCCUCAUGGUUGUACGAGUUGUCCCAGCUUUUGCCAAGGGAUAAGUCCUUAUGGAGGAUCAAGAUCAAUCCAGCAAAAGCCAGUGUUCUUUCCACCCUUUAUAUUCAAGUUGCUAGAAAGCUUAUUUUAUUAUUUAUUAUAUAUUCAAAUAUUCAUGUUACAAGAUCAUGGAUUAUAAUAAUCAAGCACUAGCAAGAACUACCCAAAUGCAUAUCCAAAUAGGUAACAAGGAAUUCAGGAUAACAAUCAUCUAUGAUUUUGCUAAGGUCAUCAAGAUGGACACAUGCAUAUGAUAAAUGUUAUACUAAUUGUGUAUAGGUAACAAGGAUAGUCCCAAGUUAUACUUGCCUUAAACACUUGCUCAAUUGUUACGUCAUAAACUUUUGGUCAUCAUCUUCUGAUCUUCAGUGCCCACAAACAGUUCUCCUCUACUCGUAGCAAGCACCACACAUAGACAAACAUACAAGCAGCAAAUAGAAACAACUAAGAACAACACAUCAAUCAAAAAGAUAAACUUUAAAAGAGAGCACACUAACGGCACUGACUCGAUGUUACUACGAUCGCGAGAGCAUAAAACAACCCAAAAUGGAACUAUCGCUAAAGGAGACAUGACUAUCCAUAUGUUUGCAAUAAAUGGAGAAGAUAGACUAAAAACUUGAUGCAUUUCAUUCGUUGAAUUAGGGUGAUGGACACUUAAAAAGAUAUCUUUGGAUUAACUAAAUUAUAUUGAAUUAUAAAGGUGGGAUUAAAUCUUGGUCAUGUUUUAUUUAUAAAUAUUUCUAUAGUAUUUAAGUUAUUUAGACAUCUACAGUUUAGAAAGCGUAAACCCGGUGAUAGCAACUAAUCAAAUCUUUAUAUGUUUCAUGUCUCAACUAACCAAGUUAUAAUUAGUAAAUACACAUUCGAGUUCAUAUUCAUCAAAUUAACAUUUAUUAGUAAAACAAAAUAGAGAUAAAUCUAAAUUACCUUUUAAUCCAAAAAGGCAUCGCAUAAAAUUAAUCAAACUGCAUCUAAACCGACUUUAUAUGGAUCAUAUUUAAACUAGGCAAAUUAUAAUUAGUAAAUACAUAUUUAAGUUGAUGAGUAGUAACUAUAAAAAGAUCAAUAUUACCUAGGUUGCUUUUAUUAGAAAUAAGUUUGCUUAAUUAUUAAUCAAGUUAAAGAAUUCAUAAACAUGUCACAAGUUUUACACCGUUGCUAACACGUAGCUUAUGGUAGGCGCGAUCGCGAUGCAACCAGAACGAAAUUACAACCCUAGGUUGGUUUUUAUUAAAAAGCUAUUAAAUAAGUAUUAAAAAUUACAUUUAAAUCAAUAAAUUCAUAAUUGAAAUACGUCAUAAACAUUGAUACUACUAUGUAGCGCGCGAUGUUACGACAAUAACGCAACUUGAAUGAACUAAAUUAGAGUUAAGAUAAUUAAACUGUGGAAAUUACCGACGAGUGGCAAUUCUGUAAAUACCUCGUCUUCUUCCUUGGUCCAUCUACUACGGGACCGUAAUGGCCGUGGCUGCCGCAUCGUGCUGGGAGGAGGAAAGGCAGGUGGCCCGGCUGGUCAGUGGUGCCGCACGGUCGCGCGUCGCCACGCUAGGGCUGCCUGGGCGCGCAGCGUGCAGGCCCCCUUGCCGAUGGCUGCGGCUGAAAGAGGCACCGGCGGUAGCCUCGCCUGCUGCACGCGCGAGGGGAAGGGCCGUGUGCUGGGGCACGGGACGGGCGUCGUGGGGCCGCGGCGUGGGGCUUAGGUGGUGGUGGAGCCGAGGGAGAGCGCAACCGCGCAGGACGAUGGGGU
rnacentral:lncRNA from 1 species